rnacentral:rRNA from 1 species
GCCUAACACAUGCAAGUCGAACGGUAACAGGAAGAAGCUUGCUUCUUUGCUGACGAGUGGCGGACGGGUGAGUAAUGUCUGGGAAACUGCCUGAUGGAGGGGGAUAACUACUGGAAACGGUAGCUAAUACCGCAUAACGUCGCAAGACCAAAGAGGGGGACCUUCGGGCCUCUUGCCAUCGGAUGUGCCCAGAUGGGAUUAGCCAGUAGGUGGGGUAACGGCUCACCUAGGCGACGAUCCCUAGCUGGUCUGAGAGGAUGACCAGCCACACUGGAACUGAGACACGGUCCAGACUCCUACGGGAGGCAGCAGUGGGGAAUAUUGCACAAUGGGCGCAAGCCUGAUGCAGCCAUGCCGCGUGUAUGAAGAAGGCCUUCGGGUUGUAAAGUACUUUCAGCGGGGAGGAAGGGAGUAAAGUUAAUACCUUUGCUCAUUGACGUUACCCGCAGAAGAAGCACCGGCUAACUCCGUGCCAGCAGCCGCGGUAAUACGGAGGGUGCAAGCGUUAAUCGGAAUUACUGGGCGUAAAGCGCACGCAGGCGGUUUGUUAAGUCAGAUGUGAAAUCCCCGGGCUCAACCUGGGAACUGCAUCUGAUACUGGCAAGCUUGAGUCUCGUAGAGGGGGGUAGAAUUCCAGGUGUAGCGGUGAAAUGCGUAGAGAUCUGGAGGAAUACCGGUGGCGAAGGCG